UUAAAUUGAAGAGUUUGAUCAUGGCUCAGAUUGAACGCUGGCGGCAGGCCUAACACAUGCAAGUCGAACGGUAACAGGAAGCAGCUUGCUGCUUUGCUGACGAGUGGCGGACGGGUGAGUAAUGUCUGGGAAACUGCCUGAUGGAGGGGGAUAACUACUGGAAACGGUGGCUA
rnacentral:rRNA from 2 species